UCUCUCUCUCUCUCUCUCUCUCUCUCUCUCUCUCUCUCUCUCUCUCUCUCUCUCUCUCUCUCUCUCUCUCUCUCUCUCUCUCUCUCUGCGAGUGCAUGUCACAAGUAUUCUUAAAAGCGAGAAUUACCUUUGAACUGGCUGCUGAUGAAGCCACAGCUGCUAAAUAGUGCGACUGUACAUCGCCGAAGCUUCUCAUCUGCACAAGUGACAGUUUCAACCAACCGCAGGAGGACGCAGGAGGAAGAAGUCCCUUAGAGCCCACAUCGAGGUGAGGAGGAUGAAGCCCACCAAAAAAAAAAAAGAAGAAAAAAAAGGAUCCUAAUCCACACCGUCCUCCUUCUUCAUGUCCGUCAGUGGCUGCAAUCUGGACACAUAAACGGAACAAGACUGAGAACAUUUUUGCAUCCCAGCACCAGCCUGACGUCUGUGCAAGAACGAACAGCAAGGAGAUGCCCUGGAAUGAACUCUGGAAAAAUGACUCCAGCCCAAUAAUAAAUGUCAAAAAGUCCAUAGAUUCCCGAUGAGCCUGGUCAUCCGAGGACAAACCAACAUCUAAAAAGUGUCCAGAACUCGACAUGAAGGAUGCCAUUAAGACAAUCCUGCAAGCUCCUAAUAAGUAUUCGACUACAAAAUUAACCGCCCAACUAUUUCGAUAACCGAUUUCUAUGGAAAAUAAAAGUCACAAUUCUCUGACUUCACCUUCUUAAAUGCAGUGUCUCCCCUAG